UUUUAUUUAUUUUUAUUAUCUAUAUCCAAUUGUAAAAGGGGGAACCAGUCACUCUAUCACUCCGUGUCACUACGUUGCUACAGAUCUCAGCCAUUUACACAUUUAUAAAGAAAAAACAUCAACCGAAAUUACGUUUAAAAAUUCACAAAUACACAUUUAAUGUUGAUUACAAACUAACUUAAACACUAUUCGGUUUGAACAAAACGGGAGGCGUCAUCACGUCAAAACAACAUGUUUGGACGUUUUUUCUUCAUAAUAACGAUAGUAUUGGCGAUAGAAUAAGGACCGUACGCGAUUCAUACCAAUGUAUGUCUUUACGAUACAAAACAUUGAUAGAAAUCGUUGUUUUCAAUGCGUUUUAAAACAGAGAUUGUCGAACGGAAAGAUCUGUGUUUGUAAACGCAUUUAUUAGCGUCUCGUUGUGCUCAAACCCGACUUAUACGUUACUGCUCAUCCACGGCAAUGCGACGGCCACAAAUAUAAAAAUGCAGUGAGAGCACCUACUUACUGUUGAAGCGGAACAAAGGGCUGUUUUGAAAACUAAUGAUCUGACAGUUACACGAUCGUAUUCGGAAUUUAAAUAAUUCAACUGUCAUUCGGCUCGUUUCUAUUGUACUCGGAAAGAUGUUUUUUUUUAUUGCCCUUGUAGGCAAACGAGCAUACGGCCCACCUGAUGGUGAGUGGUCACCGUCGCCCAUGGACUCCAGCAAUGCCAGGGGCAGAGCCAAGCCGCUGCCUACCACCACCCGAUUCUAGGUGGAGUUCAUAGUCACCACAAUCGAAUGCCCCAUCCCCACUUUAGGGACACAAGUUCCAACUUGAGGGUAUCCGGUGUUACUCUAUGAAUGAACAUAACAAUUUUUGUGAGAAAAUUAUUUGUUGUCUUUCUGAAACGAUACUACUUCUGGUAAUUUUUUUACUUACAUUACUUUACUAUUCUAUUGCACUAUUUUCUUCAUUCAAUUAACAAGGCUCAUUUGAACACAAUGCUUAGUUAUGCUAACUUAUACCAACAAAAAUGUACAAUUUAGAAAAAUCAUUUUAAUAAUCAAAUAAUCAAAAAUGCGUUUAUUUGGCAAAUACUUAAUACUUUCCCACAAAUUCGAGUUGCACACAGGAAACAAAGUCUGAGCCAUAACAUUCCGUGUUACCAAUAUUAACAAGCUUCAAAUAGAGUCCUGUUUAUUUUAAUGUGAAUUUACAAACAGCCCUAUUAUGAUAACCAUGCAAAUUAUGUGUAUUUAUUUACACAUCUUAAAUUUACAUCUUAAUUCGAUAGCUAGACAGACCUCUCGCGAUAGUGUCAGACUGCGUGAAAUAUUCUAAAUACCAUGAAAAGGAAACCAAAGUUACUUCCGAAAUUACAAACGGAUUAAAAGAUAAAACGCAAUGUUUAUCAUUAAAAUCAGACCGUAAUAAGAAAAUACAACUUUUAUAUUUAGUACAAUUUUGAAAAAUAUCACUUUAUCGUGUAAAUUACAUUAUUAUAAUUUCUACUUUUUAUUUAAUUAUGUAGUGGAUUAUUUUAUGUCUUAUACAUAUUCUUUAUAAUGACGUACAUUACCGAUAUUUUAUUCGUAAUAACGAAGAAAAAAAAAAACAUUUUUUGUCGUUUACGUCAUGUUAAUUUUAC